rnacentral:lncRNA from 1 species
AGACACUGGGAUGGCUGCACCUUUACCCGUCCUCUCCAACUCUCUCCACCUAGAAAGUAUUCUUUUCUCUUAAUUUUGUUAGAGUUAUAUAGGAAUGCUCCUUCAGCAGAAAUGACAGAGGCUGUUGCUCUCAGAAUCAAAUGCAAUAAUGUGACCUGUAAAUUCCUGUGAAUAUUUGGAUAUUUUAGCGAUAUUUGUUUAUUCAGAAGAGAUUCUGGAUGCAGAACUCUCCUCCUCUCUGUUCUCUAACCCUGCUUUCCACCAUCAUUCUUCUCUCUCUAGGGCACAGAGAGAAUUAAGAACAACCUAAGGGUCAUUACAAUGAUCUAACUGCCUUACCUGCUUUUGAACUGGUUGAGCCUCUUGUGGGACCGAAAACAAAAGAAGGGUGUUGAAAUGCAAAUAGAUAACUCUGGGUCCCAGUCCCUGACUGCAAAAGGAAGCCAAAACUGACAACAACGUCUCCUUCUCUACGGAGGUUUGUAGAAAGGCUGUACAAAAAUCUCACAAGAUGUAUUUCUUCUCGUGGACUGGAGUCCCAAGGUGCUUAAGAGCUCUUCAAUUUGUUAAUGGAAAGAAACACCAUUUACACCGGAUGGCUACAAAGCAACCUUAUUCUGAGAGAGAGGAUCUCAUUCUGUCACCCAGGCUGGAGUGCAUGAUCAUAGCUCACUGCAGCCUCGACCUCCUGGGCUCAAGUGAUCCUCCUGCUCCAGCCUCUCAAGUAGCUAGGACUACAGAUCUUUUCUCAGAAUAGCAGUCUGUAGGCUGUCACCUAAAGUGUCCUGUUUUCAGUGCUGCACCUGCUCUGAGCUUCAUCUUUUUACGAAGACGUCAUGGUGUGCUAUCUGUACUGGGAAACUUUCCCCAGCAUCAGCCAUCUCCUGAAGAUAACAUUGUCUGCUAGAGAUUGUCAUGUAUGUGGAUUGAAUCUCUUUAUCUUCAUGGUCCUCUUUCUGUGCCCCCAGCCCGGUUGACAAUGUGUGCCUUCACUCACCCAAUUAGAAACCUUGGAGGUAUCCUGUACUCUUCUGUCACUUACCCUCAGCCUAAAGCCAAUCAGUCACCAAAGUAUUGUCUGUCAUUAUCAUCAUCAUCAUCAUCAUCACUGUCACCACUGAUGGAGUGAGAACCUUGUGCAGUUGAGCAUGAACCCCAAUUUCAUUUGCAAAAUGACCCAGACAGCAGAUUUCAUCUCAUAUGAAAUAAGCAAGGUGAGGUUUUGAUGACGUUACAGACAUGGCUAAGAAGAGGUUGAGAACCAGCAUUCAGCCCACCUGACUCCAAAGCUCAUGCCCCGAACCUCAGAAACUUCUCCAGUGAGUUCCUUUUUUUUAAUGGCAGGAUCACACCAUUAGUUUGGACUGGAUCCAACCUGGAUUGUUGCAACAGCCUUUGAUCUGAUCUGUCAAGCCCUGUGCCUUCUGUGCAACCCAUUCUCUACCCUGGCACGAGCAUUACUAAAAUACCAAUCUGGUCCUAUGACUCCUCUGCAUAAAAACCACGGCUGGGGCUGGUCAAGUGCAACAGUGUUUACAACUAAUUGAUCACAACCAGUUACAGAUAUCUUUGUUCCUUCUUUAGCCAAAAACAAACAGAAAAACAAACAAAACCCAAAUAACAAAAACAAACACAAAAAACCCCCCAUUGUUUGUUCCCUUUUGCAUCUUUUGAAUUCUAAACUCCUCACAUAGCAUAAAAUCCCCUUCUGGGUCUUUUCCCAGCCUACAACCCACUUCCCCACCUGCCCCAUUCCCCCUGUUGCUCCUACCUCUG